UUUUUGUUGCCUUUUGGCUGUUGUCUAAUAAAAUCGUCACCUUUCAAAAAAAAAAAAAACUGUCAUGUGGGCCAGAAUGUUAGAAAGUAGCAGACAGCGUAGAAAAACUUGCCAAGUUUUUUUUUCCCUGUGACUUUCCAUUUGUUUCAUAAACUGUGGCCCACAUGAUCAAUCUAGUAGCCUUGAAUUUGGGUGAGGGCAUCAUAUCUUGUGGGAUCCACCUGAUGGUCGACUUGAAAUUGGGUGGUGCACAUAUACAUCGAAAACAGGCUGUUGGUUGGCCCCUUUUAACCGUCCACUGUCUUGUACACAUGCUGCUUGAUGAUCAGCAGGCAAAAAUAUGAGCUACUAAACAUUCAUCAUGGGGCCGGCAUGAUGAAUAGCGUGGAACUACAUGUAGGUGCUGUUGUAGGCAUGGGUGGGAUAGUUGUGCAUAUGCCAAUCUGCGGCUAGGAAUAUUUAUCCUCAAUGACCUGACUUGAGAAACCUGACUGAUGUGUUGGUGUUAUUUUAUUUUGGUUUGCAGGUGAAUCUUGCCUUCUGCUAAACUGGUGAACCCUGAACUUGUGGCGCGGUCAGAACCAGUUGCUGAGUUGCUUGAUUUGGAUCUGAAAGAGGGUUGUCGGCUGGAUUGCUUAGGCAAGCUACAUACACAAUAGCACGACUUGGGUCAUUUAGAGGCAGAGUCAUUCGGCGCAGAGCCGCUAGGGGAUGCAGCCCCUGCAGAUGCAGACCCUGAAGAUGCUAGAGGUAA